UACGGGAGGCAGCAGUGAGGAAUAUUGGUCAAUGGGCGUGAGCCUGAACCAGCCAAGUAGCGUGCAGGAAGACGGCCCUAUGGGUUGUAAACUGCUUUUAUGCGGGGAUAAAGUGCGCCACGUGUGGCGUUUUGUAGGUACCGCAUGAAUAAGGACCGGCUAAUUCCGUGCCAGCAGCCGCGGUAAU
rnacentral:rRNA from 1 species